rnacentral:rRNA from 1 species
UACGUAGGUGGCAAGCGUUGUCCGGAUUUAUUGGGUUUAAAGGGCGCGUAGGCGGCCUUGAAAGUCGGGGGUGAAAUCCCACGGCCCAACCGUGGAAGUGCCUCCGAUACUGCAAGGCUCGAGGGAGGUAGGGGCAGCGGGAACUUCCGGUGGAGCGGUGAAAUGCGUUGAUAUCGGAAGGAACGCCGGUGGCGAAAGCGCGCUGCUGGACCUCUGCUGACGCUGAGGCGCGAAAGCCAGGGGAGCAAACGGG